AGGGUUCGAUUAUGGCUCAGAACGUACGCUGGCGGCACGCCUUAUACAUGCAAGUCGAACGCAGUAGCAAUACUGAGUGGCAGACGGGUGAGUAUAAUGUGGGAAUCUGCCUUUUGGUUUGGAAUAACUCGGGGAAACCUGAGCUAAUACUGGAUAAGCCCUUACGGGGAAAGCUUUAUGCGCCAAAAGAUGAGCCCGCACUUGAUUAGCUUGUUGGUGAGGUAAAAGCUCACCAAGGCAACGAUCAAUAGCUGUUCUUAGAGGAAGACCAGCCACAUUGGGACUGAGACACGGCCCAGACUCCUACGGGAGGCAGCAGUAAGGAAUCUUGCACAAUGGGGGAAACCCUGAUGCAGCGAUGCCGCGUGAGUGAAGAAGGCCUUUGGGUUGUAAAACUCUUUCGUCGGGGAAGAAAAUGACUGUACCCGAAUAAGAAGGUCCGGCUAACUUCGUGCCAGCCGCCGCGGUAAUUC
rnacentral:rRNA from 1 species